rnacentral:rRNA from 1 species
UACAGAGGGUGCGAGCGUUAAUCGGAAUUACUGGGCGUAAAGUGUGCGUAGACGGUUAUUUAAGUCGGGUGUGAAAGCCCCGGGCUCAACCUGGGAAUUGCAUUCGAGACUGAAUAGCUAGGGUACGGUAGAGGGAAGUGGAAUUUCCGGUGUAGCGGUGAAAUGCGUAGAUAUCGGAAGGAACAUCAGUGGCGAAAGCGACUUCCUGGACCAGUACCGACGUUCAGGCACGAAAGCGUGGGGAGCAAACAGG